rnacentral:snRNA from 1 species
AAAUGUGAGGGCAAUCUGGCUGCAACAUCUGUCACUCCAUUGAUUGCCGGGGUCGAUUUGGGUGAUGUAGCUUGGCUAGGCGGGUGUCCCCUUCCUCCCUCACCCCUCCAUGUGCGUCCCUCCCAAGGCUGCCCACUGGGUCAAAGAGGACUACCAUCCCUGAUGGAGGGGGACUGGUCUUCGGUCACGGGUAUAUGAGUAGCUGUGCUCCUCUGCUAGAACUGCCAAACAAGCUCUCAAGGUCCAUUUAGUAAAAACGCAUGCAGUAUAUUGGAAAUGGAAGAAAACUAUUACAUUAAUUAGAUCGAGUAUCUACAAAU